GCUGGGUGUGGUGGCGCAUGCCCAUAGACCCAGCUACUCAGGAGGCUGAGUGGGGAGGAUCACUUGAGCCCAGGAGUUCUGGGCUGUAGUGUGCUAUGCCAAUCAGGUGUCCACACUAAGUUCGGCAUCAAUAUGGUGACCUCCCGGGAGCAGUAACCACCAGGUUGCCUAAGGAGGGUGAACUGGCCCAGGUCAGAAACGGAGCAGGUCAAAACUCCCAUGCUGAUCAGUAGUGGGAUCGCACCUGUGAAUAGCCAUUGCACUCCAGCCUGGGCAAUAUAACGAGACCCUGUCUCUA
ensembl:misc_RNA Metazoa_SRP Metazoan signal recognition particle RNA